UUUAUUAUAGCCUCUAGGGCAUAUUUCCAACAGAGCCUACCCCGGGGUUAUCCCCCCAUCAAUGAAUGAUAUGGCGUCCAUGAACGUCUCCACCGUCGGCUCAUGAGCAGGUGGUGUACCUCAGCAUUCACACCCCUUCGACGCACCCUAGCUCCGUCAAUCACGUGCAACCAAACCACCCGCGUGGCCAUAGUUGCGCACCCGCACCCGAGACACAUGC
rnacentral:lncRNA from 1 species